rnacentral:rRNA from 1 species
GGCGGUCUUUUAAGUCAGAGGUGAAAUCCUACAGCUCAACUGUAGAAUUGCCUUUGAUACUGAAAGACUUGAGUUAUUGUGAAGUAGUUAGAAUGUGUGGUGUAGCGGUGAAAUGCAUAGAGAUCACACAGAAUACCGAUUGCGAAGGCAGAUUACUAACAAUAUACUGACGCUGAGGGACGAAAGCGUGGGUAGCGAACAGGAUUAGAUACCCUGGUAGUCCACGCCGUAAACGAUGGAUACUAGCUGUUCGACCAACAUUGGUUGGUUGAGUGGCUAAGCGAAAGUGAUAAGUAUCCCACCUGGGGAGUACGGUCGCAAGACUGAAACUCAAAGGAAUUGACGGGGGCCCGCACAAGCGGUGGAGCAUGUGGUUUAAUUCGAUGAUACGCGAGGAACCUUACCAGGGCUUAAAUGUAAGUUGCAUGAUUUAGAGAUAGAUCUUUCUUCGGACUACUUACAAGGUGCUGCAUGGUUGUCGUCAGCUCGUGCCGUGAGGUGUCAGGUUAAGUCCUAUAACGAGCGCAACCCCUGUCGUUAGUUGCCAGCAAGUUAAGUUGGGCACUCUAGCGAGACUGCCAGUGCAAACUGUGAGGAAGGUGGGGAUGACGUCAAAUCAUCACGGCCCUUACGUCCUGGGCUACACACGUGCUACAAUGGUCGGUACAGAGAGCAGCCACUACGCGAGUAGGAGCGAAUCUAUAAAACCGAUCUCAGUUCGGAUCGCAGUCUGCAACUCGACUGCGUGAA